GACGAACGCUGGCGGCGUGCUUAACACAUGCAAGUCGAACGGAAAGGCCCUGCUUUUGUGGGGUGCUCGAGUAGCGAACGGGUGAGUAACACGUGAGUAACCUGCCCUUGACUUUGGGAUAACUUCAGGAAACUGGGGCUAAUACCGGAUAGGAGCUCCUGCUGCAUGGUGGGGGUUGGAAAGUUUCGGCGGUUGGGGAUGGACUCGCGGCUUAUCAGCUUGUUGGUGGGGUAGUGGCUUACCAAGGCUUUGACGGGUAGCCGGCCUGAGCGGGUGACCGGCCACAUUGGGACUGAGAUACGGCCCAGACUCCUACGGGAGGCAGCAGUGGGGAAUAUUGCACAAUGGGCGGAAGCCUGAUGCAGCAACGCCGCGUGCGGGAUGACGGCCUUCGGGUUGUAAACCGCUUUCGCCUGUGACGAAGCGUGAGUGACGGUAAUGGGUAAAGAAGCACCGGCUAGCUACGUG
rnacentral:rRNA from 1 species